ACGCUGGCGGCAUGCCUAACACAUGCAAGUCGAACGAGACCUUCGGGUCUAGUGGCGCACGGGUGCGUAACGCGUGGGAAUCUGCCCUUUGGGUUCGGAAUAACUUCGGGAAACUGAAGCUAAUACCGGAUGAUGACGUAAGUCCAAAGAUUUAUCGCCCAAGGAUGAGCCCGCGUAGGAUUAGCUAGUUGGUGAGGUAAAGGCUCACCAAGGCGACGAUCCUUAGCUGGUCUGAGAGGAUGAUCAGCCACACUGGGACUGAGACACGGCCCAGACUCCUACGGGAGGCAGCAGUGGGGAAUAUUGGACAAUGGGCGAAAGCCUGAUCCAGCAAUGCCGCGUGAGUGAUGAAGGCCUUAGGGUUGUAAAGCUCUUUUACCCGGGAUGAUAAUGACAGUACCGGGAGAAUAAGCUCCGGCUAACUCCGUG
rnacentral:rRNA from 1 species